GGCCGGUUAGCUCAGUCAGUUGAGUGUAGCACUAACAACGCUAAGGUUGUGGGUUCGAUUCCUGUUUGGUCCC
rnacentral:tRNA from 1 species